CCUACGGGAGGCAGCAGUGGGGAAUAUUGGACAAUGGGCGAAAGCCUGAUCCAGCCAUGCCGCGUGUGUGAAGAAGGCCUUCGGGUUGUAAAGCACUUUCAGUGGGGAAGAAAGCCUUGGGGCUAAUACCCUCGAGGAAGGACAUCACCCACAGAAGAAGCACCGGCUAACUCCGUGCCACGCAGCCGCGGUAAUACGGAGGGUGCGAGCGUUAAUCGGAAUUACUGGGCGUAAAGCGCGCGUAGGCGGUCUGAUAAGCCGGUUGUGAAAGCCCCGGGCUCAACCUGGGAACGGCAUCCGGAACUGUCCGGCUAGAGUGCAGGAGAGGAAGGUAGAAUUCCCGGUGUAGCGGUGAAAUGCGUAGAGAUCGGGAGGAAUACCAGUGGCGAAGGCGGCCUUCUGGACUGACACUGACGCUGAGGUGCGAAAGCGUGGGUAGCAAACAGGAUUAGAUACCCCGGUAGUC
rnacentral:rRNA from 1 species